rnacentral:tRNA from 1 species
GGAGAGAUGCCUGAGUGGUCGAAAGGAAACGCUUGGAAAGCGUUCGUACGAGUAAUCGUACCGUGGGUUCGAAUCCCUCUCUCUCCG